rnacentral:rRNA from 1 species
GUGGCCCCAAGUCAGGGGAGGCCACCCGCCGAGUUUAAG